rnacentral:rRNA from 1 species
UGGGGGAUAUUGCACAAUGGGCGAAAGCCUGAUGCAGCGACGCCGCGUGGGGGAUGAAGGCCUUCGGGUUGUAAAAUUCUUUUGCUCUGAACAAGGCGCACCAUGGGGUGUGUUGAGUGUAGGGGUUGAUUAGCGCCGGCUAACUACGUGCCAGCAGCCGCGGGAAUACGUAGGGCGCGAGCGUUGUCCGGAAUUAUUGGGCGUAAAGGGCUUGUAGGUGGCUGGUUGCGUCUGUCGUGAAAGCUCAUGGCUUAACUGUGGGUUUGCGGUGGGUACGGGCUGGCUUGAGUGCAGUAGGGGAGGCUGGAAUUCCUGGUGUAGCGGUGGAAUGCGCAGAUAUCAGGAGGAAUACCGGUGGCGAAGGCGGGUCUCUGGGCUGUUACUGACACUGAGGAGCGAAAGCAUGGGGAGCGAACAGG